ensembl:misc_RNA 7SK 7SK RNA
GGAUGUGAGGGCGGUCUGGCUGCGACAUCUGUCACCCCAUUGAUCGCCAGGGUUGAUUCGGCUGAUCUGGCUAGCUAGGCCGGUGUCCCCUUCCUCCCUUACCGCUCCAUGUGCGUCGCUCCCGAAGCUACGCGAUUUGUACGACCAUCCCCGAUAGAGGAGGACCGGUCUUCUGUCAAGGGUAUAUGAGUAGCUGCACUCCUCUGCUAGAACCUCCAAACAAGCUCAUAAAACGCAAUGUAUAUCCUACAUAAUUAAGAAAAUUGAGGGAAAUGGGGUGUGGUUAGGAGGUAUGGGGGAGAUUGAUGAAAGGGACGACAUUGAUCGAGAUGCAUUGUAU